CUAAUCCUGGUCGGACAUCAGGAGGUUAGUGCAAUGGCAUAAGCCAGCUUGACUGCGAGCGUGACGGCGCGAGCAGGUGCGAAAGCAGGUCAUAGUGAUCCGGUGGUUCUGAAUGGAAGGGCCAUCGCUCAACGGAUAAAAGGUACUCCGGGGAUAACAGGCUGAUACCGCCCAAGAGUUCAUAUCGACGGCGGUGUUUGGCACCUCGAUGUCGGCUCAUCACAUCCUGGGGCUGAAGUAGGUCCCAAGGGUAUGGCUGUUCGCCAUUUAAAGUGGUACGCGAGCUGGGUUUAGAACGUCGUGAGACAGUUCGGUCCCUAUCUGCCGUGGGCGCUGGAGAACUGAGGGGGGCUGCUCCUAGUACGAGAGGACCGGAGUGGACGCAUCACUGGUGUUCGGGUUGUCAUGCCAAUGGCACUGCCCGGUAGCUAAAUGCGGAAGAGAUAAGUGCUGAAAGCAUCUAAGCACGAAACUUGCCCCGAGAUGAGUUCUCCCUGACCCUUUAAGGGUCCUGAAGGAACGUUGAAGACGACGACGUU
rnacentral:rRNA from 1 species